GGACAUCCUGGCCUUCUAGAGCCCCAGGAUUUCUUGGCUCUGGGCUCCUCCACAGGAUGGUUCGGGUCUGUCCACUCUGUACCUUCCCAGUAAUGACUAUGUGCCAGGACCUAGGCCACAGGAUAAAGGCUAGGAGCCCAGCAGAGUGCAGCGCUGGCUUCCAAUGUCCCACCUGCAUGGGGUGAUAACCAGGCUCGGCUCAGGGCAAGAGGAAGGAGAGAGAGGGCAAGGCCCAGCGAGCAACACUGCUGCUGUUCUCACCCUUGUUCCACGCUCUCCUCACUGCAGUUCAUAAGGAGGACACCAUCCUGCCUCCAGCCCACAGGUAGUCAAGGUGGCUCCUGAUACCAUGUUGGACAAUUCGAGGAGGAGGACUCAGUAGAAGCACUACACAGAGGAGACCAAGAGCAAGAAGAGACCCCCAACCACUGGAGCUGCGGGGGGCCACCCAGUUCACUGCCAGCUACGAGCUCUGGGUGGGAAUACCCUGUCUCAGGACACCUGGGCGCUAUCAGCCUGACCCAGGGUCUGGGAGCUUGGCCACAUGCAGUCCUGGCUCACUCAGAGAGGGAACUCAGUUCCUGUGUGUCACCUCUAGCCAGCAUGUCCUCUGCAGGGCCCCCAGAGGCACAUCUUCACACAGCUCUCUCCCAUGUCACAGAGUCG